CUACGGGGCGCUGCAGUGAGGAAUAUUGCACAAUGGGGGGAACCCUGAUGCAGCAACGCCGCGUGGAGGAUGACGCAUUUCGGUGUGUAAACUCCUUUUAUAUGUCAAGAAAAUGACGGUAGCAUAUGAAUAAGCACCGGCUAACUCCGUGGCCAGCAGCCGCGGUAAUACGGAGGGUGCAAGCGUUACUCGGAAUCACUGGGCGUAAAGGACGCGUAGGCGGGUUGGAAAGUCAGGUGUGAAAUCCUACAGCUUAACUGUAGAACUGCACUUGAAACUUCUAAUCUAGAGUAUGGGAGGGGGAGAUGGAAUUAGUGGUGUAGGGGUAAAAUCCGUAGAUAUCAUUAGGAAUACCUAAAGCGAAGGCGAUCUCCUGGAACAUUACUGACGCUAGGGCGUGAAAGCGUGGGGAGCAAACAGGAUUAGAUACCCCGGUAGUC
rnacentral:rRNA from 1 species